CCACCCCUAACUCCCAAAGUUAGGAUUCUAAACUAAACUAUUUUCUG
rnacentral:tRNA from 1 species